rnacentral:lncRNA from 1 species
AAAGUCCAGUUGGAAAGGUUUUCCACAAACCUGAGAAUUCCUGAGAAACCCUGACAAUAUUCAGCAUUUAUGAUUACCUAGACGGACAUAUUUUAUGAAAAUUACAUUGCCUUUGAAUGCCUUCUUAUGAAGGAGCUCGAAUGUUAGGAUUCUGUUAGAAUGGAUUUCAGAACAUAUUUAACAUAUUUCCAUCUGGCAACCUUGGGAUGUCUCUCAAUAAAAGUGAUUAUGGAAGGAUUGUUAUUUGGUAUAAAAACAUUUGCUCAGGAUGGACUAGGCUUCCUGAAAAUGCUGUACAUCUUUAUGGUUGACAUUUUCGUUGUUUUGAAUUAGGUGGAUUUUUUUUUCACCGCCACUUUGAACUAUUUCACUAUAAAACUCUUCCUAUCCUACUUUAAAUAAAGCUGGCAAUUUUCCUUAACUCAAAUUAAGUCACAUUUAUGAAAAUAUUUUUAUUAGUGGGAAACCCAAGUUCCCUAUAUUCAUACAAAUAUAAUAAUGCUUGCAGAUUUUCUCAUGUCUUAGACGGGUGAUCCAAGGAGCUAAAACCAGGACUACCCCUCUAAAAUUUUAUUUUUUAAUUUUGGACUUCAUGUUUAAAGGAAAUUAAGACUUUUUUUCUUUCAAGUCCCCAAAAGGCUUCUUCAAUAAUUUGUGAGAAUUAUAGCACUUAGGAAUAGGCAAAUAAAAUAACACCAUGGAUCCAAUCUUGUGUAUGGGGAAAAGCAUUAACAUGAAGAAGCAAAGUCAAAUUCAAGGAUAAAUGGCACAAAAUUCUGGAGAGACAGGAAUGUAGAGAAGGCAUCAAUAUUCAUUCAAAGCAAAUGUGAAAGUCUUUACCCACAGGUUACUUUAGAGAUUAGGAGGAAAAAAAAAAAAAAAAAAGCCUCCGAAGGUCGAGAAGACAGUAAUUUUAGAAUGAUUCCAUGAAGGCCAGAUGUUUGUUCUGGUUUCUCUUCUGAAGCUCUGUCUCUAUGGGUCAUUUAGAGGUGUCCAGGGUUGAAUGCCAAUCCACAUGUAAAAUCUCAUCCAAGAAACCCAAAGCAUUGCCUCUUAUUUGACCAGCUAUCCUCCUCUCACUGGAAAGGAUCCCAAAGUUGAAGAGGCUACCCUUUGGAAAUAUGAACUAUGUAGAAGCUACAAUUAUUCUUUCAAGCUAUGUAAGCAAUCAAUUUUGAGGGGCUUUUGAGUGAAAGCAGAAUUUUGAAGAUGGUAGAGUGAUGCACUUUCAAUCUCUUAUUCAUCUUAAAAAUUACCCUGAAAGGAAAGAAGAACAUGAAACAGAAGAAGAGACUCCAUCUUUGAUUGAACUAGAAGGCAUGUGCAACCACAAACCGCAAUAUGUAAAGACUUAGAGUAGACAGAGAAAAGCUAAACGACGCAGCCGAGUAGAGGAAAUGUCAAAACUAAGGAUCCUCCGAAGGAAAUAUUGAUUAAAGUUGUACUAAAAGAAAAUACACAGGAAUUAGAAGCUCCAGGUACUCCAGAUGGGAUUGUUUUUACUCAGAAAGGAGAACAGGGUGACAGAAAUUGCUUAAAAGGCUAAUAGGAGGAGACUUCUACUUCUAGCAGUAUGGCAGAUUCGACACAAUAAAGUUUCCUUCUGCCAAAAUGCAAUUAGAGCUUGGAUAAACUAUAACAAAGAUCAUUUGAAUGCAUUUAGGGGUUACUAACAAGCUAGACAAGUCUCCAGCUUCCUUCCCUGUACCUUCCUCUGAGGGGAAAAUAUAUAAGCUAGCUGAAAUCUGAGUACAGAACCAUAAUAGUAACUCCAGUAACUAAGUUCUUAAGUUGUCUACCUGAUAUCAGGGGAACAAAAGUGUCGACGCCUGAGUGGGGGUUGGGAGACUCAUCAUAGGCCCACGUGAAGAUGGGAGAGAUGAAUGUGAAGCUUUCAAUUGAUCCAGGACUGGGGAAGCACACACGUGGCUCCAAUCCAGUACAUGUAAAUUCUCUCUGGAGGAAAAGUAUCCUAGAACUUCCAAAGGUUAAGUUCUACAAAGUAGGAGUACAUAGUCCAAAAUUAACCCAACAAAAAUGAAAAGAAGCCACUUGUAAGAGAUGGCUGAAGCAACUAACUUAGAUUUAGACCCUAAAAAUCUCAGAUUUUGUAAUUAACAGAUAUAGAAUAUGAAAUAACCAAGUACAAAAUUAAAAGACUGAAUUUUUUAAAGAAACCAAGAAUAAGAGGCUAUCAAACAUUGCUAAUCAUGUUAAAGAGAAGGCAAAAGAAUACCUAGAAUUAAAAUAUAUAAUAAAAUUGACAUUAUAAACUAGGUGAAUGAGUUUACCAACACCUAAGGAAAGAACUGGUGAAUGGAAAGAUAAAGCUUAAGAUAUUAUCCAUAAGGGCAGCAUAAAGAAGCAAGGAAUUAGAAAAUAUAAAAAGAUAACUAAGAAACAUGGAGGAGUUUCUGUUGUGGCUCAGCAGGUUAAGGACCCAAUGCUGUCUCUGUGAGAAUAUGGGUUUGAUCCUUGGCCUCACUCAUGGGGUUAAGGAUCCGGCACUGCUGCAAACAGCAGCAUAGGUCACAGACAUGGCUCGGAUCCAGUGUUGCCAUAGCUGUGGUGUAGGUUGCAGCUGCAGUUCUGAUCAGACCCCUGGCCUGGGAACUUCUCUAUGCCACAGGUGUGGCUGUAAAAAGAAGAAGAAAUAAAGGAAGAAAGGAAGGGAGGGAGGGAGGAAGGAAGAAAGAAAGAUGGAGAUAGAAUCAUAAAGAUGGGGCAUUCCCGUCGUGGCUCAGAGGAAACGAAUCUGACUAGUAUCCAUGAGAAUGCAGGUUCAAUCCCUGGCCUCACUCAGUGGCUUAAGGAUCCAGUGUUGCCAUGAGCUGUGGUGUAGGUCACAGACGCAGUUCAGAUCUGGUGUUGCUGUGCCUGUGGUGUAGGCCUGCAGCUGUACCUCUGAUUGGACCCCUAACCUGGGAACCUCCAUGUGCUGUGGGUGCAGCCCUAAAAAGAAAGAAAGAAAAAAAAAAAAAAAAA